rnacentral:lncRNA from 1 species
AUCGGCCUUUUAACAACAGAUAAAACCCUAGGUAUGGGCCCUAGGAACAACCGUCAAAAUUUUGCCGGAGAUACCGUCAAGGAUGUCGGAGCAGUAACAAUAACACCCAAAACACCCGCAAAAAUGAGUAUCAAACAACCGGAUAGCAGUCAAACGAACGAUUUGACCACCUGAAACCCUAGAAGUUGAAAACUCACCGGAAAAUCUCCAAAAAUUCUACAACAAUCGAUUGAACCGUUCAAUAGAAGAGAACGGUCAUAGAUCAUGAAGAUAAAGGCUCGAAACAGGCCCAAUCGGAGUCAAAACCAUCACUGACCUUUCGAUCUCAGAAAACCCCAAAAAUUUCAUCAGAGAACAGUUCAAAUGAACUACUGAUUCACAUAAAAGUAUCAUCGGAUCAUUAUGUAGGCUCUGAUACCAUGAAAACAUGCAAGAAAUCAUAGAAAUUUAGAGAGAGAAAGUAGAGAGAAGGAGGAGAGUUUCGGAAGACUCUCGAAGAAGAGAGAAGAUAUUAUUUCAUCAAAUGACCCCUCAAGUCCGUUUAACAAACGACCCCUAUACAUAUAUACAAAAUGACCCUUUACACAUAUAGCCUAUUACAUAGAUAGCCUAUUACAGAAAUAACCCUAUUACAGAAAAUGACCUAUUUACAUACCAUAGCCUAUUAUACAAAUAGCCUAUUAGGCUCAGAUAUGACUCCCUCAUUGACUCAGAA